GUGAGUACAGCGGCGGACGGGUGAGUAACGCGUAGGAAUCUACCUAGUAGUGGGGGACAACUCGGGGAAACUCGAGCUAAUACCGCAUACGCCCUAAGGGGGAAAGCGGGGGAUCUUCGGACCUCGUGCUAUUGGAUGAGCCCAAGUCAGAUUAGCUAGUUGGUGAGGUAAUGGCUCACCAAGGCGACGAUCUGUAGCUGGUCUGAGAGGAUGAUCAGCCACACUGGGACUGAGAUACGGCCCAGACUCC
rnacentral:rRNA from 1 species